rnacentral:rRNA from 1 species
AACGAACGCUGGCGGCAGGCUUAACACAUGCAAGUCGAACGCUCGUAGCAAUACGGGAGUGGCGGACGGGUGAGUAACGCGUGGGAACGUGCCCUGAGGUACGGAAUAACUGCGGGAAACUGCAGCUAAUACCGUAUGAGCCCCGCAAGGGGGAAAGAUUUAUCGCCUUGGGAGCGGCCCGCGUCGGAUUAGCUAGUUGGUGGGGUAACGGCCUACCAAGGCUUCGAUCCGUAGCUGGUCUGAGAGGACGAUCAGCCACACUGGGACUGAGACACGGCCCAGACUCCUAUGGGAGGCAGCAGUGGGGAAUCUUGCGCAAUGGGGGCAACCCUGACGCAGCCAUGCCGCGUGAAUGAUGAAGGCCUUAGGGUUGUAAAGUUCUUUUGCCCGUGACGAUGAUGACGGUAACGGGAGAAUAAGCUCCGGCUAACUUCGUGCCAGCAGCCGCGGU